UGGACUCAUCAUGGUAUAUGACUCGACUCAUGACGGGGGUGGCAAUGGGGCUAAUGAUACAGACUCUAUCACGAACACUGUCAAUGUCAGGGCUGCAGGGUACAGACUCUCAUGGACUCAUAACUCCAUCAACUUAUGAAACCCUAAGCACGGUUACUCCUAAACUCUCAUCAUGAAUGUGUCAUGGAAACUGCCACCUGUGUAAGCAUCUAUUCUGCUUGUCUGAAGAGGAUCUGGUAGUCAGAUGUGUCAUCGUUGGAGAACUAUGUGACACUGGUACCAGUUGGGAAGGAUACUAUCCUGCCCAGCUCGGACCGUCCCUCUGGGUAGAACCUGUCGGUGACCUCCAUGGCCCAAGCCAUCUCUAGGGUCAACUUCUCCUUCUUCCUCAUGACACAGCGACUCUCUAUCAGCCGCAGUGUAGUGCGGGGAAUCCAGAAUCCCUCCUUCUUGAUCUUGAGUCGGUUUCCUGCCGGUAGGCAACGGCUAAGAGCUCUCAACUCUUAGACUCGACGUUGGUCAGAGUCCUUCCAAACCUGCAGGAGUCUGUCACACUUGUACUGUUGGUAGGCUGCCUUCUGGAGUGUGUCAGUCAGGUUGGCUGCGUUGGCCAAGUUGUUCUUGUCCUGAUGGGCGAUCUUUCUCUGCAAACUCAGGUUCUCUGUGACUACUGAUGUCUACUCCUCAAAGACCUCACCCACUCUCGAGUGCAUAGUCUCCAGUGCUCUGCCCAGCUGGGUUAGCUCCAACUCUGCGUGGGUCUGUCGGGCCUCGGCUGUCAUGCGGCGGUAUCACUCUGCUGCAAAGCUCUCCUGGGCAGUCCUGGCGGCACGCUCGUUGGUGUUGUUCUGGAUGUUGUUUGAAUAAGUCCAUGAGGCAGUUAACUAUAGAAGGUAAAGGUGAUUAGCACCAUUCAUGGCAUGGCCCAGGGAGUUGGGAUGGCAACUACCGAUCACGAGCAUGCCUUGAUUAGCAGAAUAAUUUCCUACCAUGUAAUGCAGUCAGUUCUUUGUUUAAAUAGAGAUAGCAACCACAGAGAAUGUGUGGCCUUUGCAAUAGCAAUACACCAGUAUCCAUCUCGUGUGUGUGUGUGGGAAUUCCAUCUCGUCUUAGGGACUUCUGUCAUUUGGUAUCAGAGCCAAGUCCUCGCCGCAGCUAUGGCAUCGCAGCCGCGUUCCAAGCAGCCGCUGAUCGGUGAUGGCUCCGGCGAGGAGAAGGUCCAGCCAUCAUGUUCGCCGCGCCGUCGCCGUGGCCGUUCCGGUAGUCGCCACCGCUCUGGAUCACGGAUCGUGGAGCGCGUCGUCGAGCGUUCAUCCGCCAACGUCGCGUGGCCGAUGCUCACGCGAACAAACUACCCGGAGUGGGCGCUGGUGAUGGAAGUGAACUACCAGACGCUUCGCGUCUGGGACGCUGUCGACAUCGGCAUCGAUGAGGACCCGGAUGAGGAUGAGUACCAGCAAGACCGCCAGGCAAUGGCGUGUCUCCUGCGCUCGGUUCCCUCCGAAAUGUGGGGGACGCUCGGUCGCAAGCGGACCGUGAAGGAGGCGUGGGACGCUAUCAAGAUACUGCGGGUCGGUGAUGGCCGCGCGCGCGACGCCAGCGCGCAGCAGCUCCGUCGCGAGUUCGGCGCGCUCGCCUUCAAGGAUGGGGAGUCCGUUUCCGAAUUCGGGAUCCGCAUCACGUCGCUCGCCGUCAACCUUCGCAUCCUCGGCGACAAUAUCUCCGAUGUCGAGGUGGUAAAGAAGCUUUUGCAGGUGGUACCUGAUCGGCUGUCUCAGGCCGCCGUCUCUCUCGAGAUGUUCCUCGAUCUGAACACGGCUUCGAUCGAGGACGUCGUCGGGCGGCUGCGCGUGUUCGAAGAGCGCGGCAAGCCGAAGGAGGUCACGGACGGUAUGGGCCGACUGCUGCUCUGCGAAGAAGAUUGGGAGGCACGUCGCCAGGCCCGCCGCGAGCAGGAAAGUUCCGGUGGUGGCAGUAGCUUGAGCAGCCGCGGGAAGGACCGAGGACGUGGACGCGGUCGUGGCGGCGCCGGCUCGUCGUCCCGUGACGGCCAGUCCGGCAAGAACACGGGCGCUGGCAACGCGGGCGGUGGCAGGCCGCCGCCAGGAACCCUCUGCAACAGCUGCGGGAAGAAAGGGCAUUGGGCCAGAGACUGCAAAGGCAAGAGGAAAAAGGCCGCGGCCCAUGUGGCCCAGGCAGAGGAGGAAGAAGACCGGGCCCUCAUGCUCAUCUCCGUUGAGUCGGAGGUAACCGCGCCGCACGCACCUCUUCCCCAUUCUUCAGCGCCGCCGCCGCCGCUGUGCGAUGUUGAGCCGCCACCGCUGUGCGCCGUCGAUUCGCCGCAGCGCGUCCACCUCGUCGAGCCAAAGGUCCUCCUCCACCUUAGAGAGGAAGAGAAGGAGGCAGAGGGCCCCUGUCGAUGGGUCCUCGACACCGGCGCGACGAACCAUAUGACGGGUUCGCGUCAUGUCUUCUCCGAGCUCGACAGCAGCGUGACCGGCACCGUCAAGUUUGGUGACGGGUCGGUGGUCAACAUCGAGGGGAAGGGCACUGUGCUCUUCGCCCUCAGAUCCGGUGAACACCGCCGGCUCGACGGCGUCUAUUACAUCCCGCGGCUCACGACCAACAUUGUGAGUCUCGGGCAGAUGGAUGAGGAGGGUUUGAAGGUCGUCAUCGAGAAGGGGAUCCUGCGUCUCUUCGACCCGCAGCGGCAACUGCUCGCCAAAGUGCUGCGGUCACCAAGCCGGCUCUACCUCCUCAAUAUGAAUCUCGCCGCUCCUGUGUGCCUCACUGCGCGCGCCGGGGAUGUGGCAUGGAGCUGGCACGAGAGGUAUGGCCACGUCAACUUCCAAGCACUCCGCAAGCUUGGACACGGUGGCAUGGUGCGCGGACUGCCAGCCAUCGAUCAUGUUGCUCAGGUCUGUGAAGACUGCGUCCUGGCGAAACAGAAGAGGAAGCCGUUCCCCAAGGCCGCCAAGUACCGAGCUCAGGAGGAGCUCGAGCUGGUUCAUGGAGAUCUUUGUGGCCCGAUAACGCCACACACGCCGGCUGGGAACGCUUAUUUUCUGUUGCUGGUUGAUGACAUGAGCAGGUACAUGUGGCUCACGCUGCUACGCUCCAAGACAGACGCACCGGCGGCCAUCAUAAAAUUCCAGGCGCGGGUGGAGCGUGAGUCCGGCAAGAAACUGAAGGUGCUCCGGACAGACAAUGGAGGUGAAUUCACCUCUGUCACAUUUGGUGAAUACUGCGCAGGAGAAGGGAUACAACGUCACCACUCGGCUCCAUACACGCCACAGCAAAAUGGCGUAGUGGAACGCCGAAAUCAGUCAGUCGUAGCAAUGGCGAGGAGCAUCCUGCGGGCACGUGGAGUGCCCGGGCACUUCUGGGGGGAGGCAGUACAUACUGCUGUCUUUCUCCUCAACCGGGCGCCCACCAGCGCGCUCGACGGCAAGACCCCUUACCAGGCGUGGUACGGGAAGAAGCCCUCCGUGCACUUCCUCCGUGUGUUCGGAUGUGUGGCCUACAUCAAGAAUGUACGCCCACAUCUUGGAAAGCUUGAUGAUCGCGGGCGCAAGGUGGUCUUCAUCGGCUACCAAGAUGGGGCCAAGGCCUACCGUUUCUACGACCCCGUCGCCGAGCGCGUCCACGUCUCGCGCGACGCCGUCUUCAACGAGGGAGCGCGCUGGGACUGGGGAGGUGCUACAGACACUGUAGACAUGCACCCCUUCACUGUCGCGGAGGAGUACGAGCUGCGGCGCCAGCAAGUUGAGGGACCGGCCCUAGAGCCCGUCUCUCCCGAAGCGCGCACGCCAGCUCCGGCGGCAUUGACACCGCGCUCUGCGUCAGCCUCAUCGUCACCGGCGCCACGCACAGUGUCUCCAACGGCACCCAGCGCGUCGGCAACAACAUCCUCGCCCUCGACACCAAAGGCACCACGGACUCAGAUCAAGUUCGCAACGCCGCUCUCCACCGACUCUAGCUUCGACACCAGUGGUGUGGGGGAGCUUCGAUACCGGACGCUGGACAAUAUUCACAGCGUGGGUGCAGCCCCCGGGCUGGUCCACCAUGAUGACGAGGAGGCUGAACUACAUGCUGUAAGCGUGGAGGAGCCCAGGACCUUGAAGGAGGCCGAUGGUGACCCAAAUUGGGUUGCCGCGAUGGAGGAGGAGCUGGCGUCGAUCCAUGAUAACAAGACAUGGUCACUGGCCGUGCUCCCGCGUGGUCAUCGUGCCAUAGGCCUCAAGUGGGUGUACAAAGUCAAGCAUGACGAGAAAGGCAACAUCGUCAAGUACAAGGCCCGCCUCGUCGCCAAAGGCUAUGUGCAGCAGCCUGGCAUCGACUUCGACGAGGUCUUCGCGCCGGUCGCACGACUGGAGUCCGUGCGUCUGCUCCUCGCCAUCGCAGCACACUACGGCUGGGGCGUCCACCAUAUGGACGUGAAGUCGGCAUUUUUGAACGGGGAGCUCCAGGAAGAAGUCUACGUCCAGCAACCCCCCGGUUUCGUCGACGACAAGCACAAGUAUAAGGUGCUCCGACUUCACAAAGCGUUGUACGGGCUUCGCCAAGCCCCACGCGCCUGGAACCAGAAGCUUGAUGCCGAGCUGCUGGCCCUUGGCUUCGCGCGCUGUGUUGAUGAGCAUGGCAUGUACACUCGAGGCAAGGGAGAAGCACGUCUGAUCGUGGGCGUAUAUGUUGAUGAUUUGAUUAUCACAGGUGGUGAUGCAGGAGCUGUGGCAAAGUUCAAGGUGCAGAUGCAGAAGAUCUUCAAGAUGAGUGAUCUUGGGCUCCUCUCCUAUUACCUGGGGCUCGAGGUGACCCAGGGAGCACAAGGGAUCACGCUGCGUCAGAGCGCCUACGCCACCAAAGUGCUUGAGAAGGCGGGCCUAGCUGGCUGCAAUGCCAGUGCCACGCCCAUGGAGCCAAAGCUGAAGCUGCUCAAGGAGGGGACAACGCCGAGUGUGGAUGUCACAGAAUAUCGCAGUCUUAUCGGCAGUCUCAGAUACCUGUGCAACUCUAGACCGGACUUGACAUAUCCGGUGGGAUAUCUUAGCCGAUUCAUGGAGGCGCCGUGUCAAGAACAUCUUGCUGCAGUCAAGCGUGUUCUUCGGUAUGUCGCAGGCACGCUGCACUGGGGCUUGCACUACCAUCCGAGGAAGAAAAAUGAAGGAGCACCACAGCUGCUGGGUUACUCUGACAGUGACUUAGCAGGAGAUGUUAAUGACCGGAAGAGCACCAGCGGUCUCAUCUUCUUCCUGGCUGGAGGGCCGGUUGCUUGGCAAUCGGCGAAACAGAAGGUUGUUGCUCUGUCUUCUUGUGAGGCGGAGUAUAUCGCAGCCGCUGCGGCCGCUUGCGAGGCAGUCUGGUUGGCACGGCUGCUGGCUGAGCUCAUAGGAGGAGCAGUGCUCGCUCCCAAGCUCAAGGUGGACAACAAGUCCGCCAUUGCUUUGAUGAAGAACCCUGUGCAUCAUGACCGGAGUAAGCAUAUUGACGUGAAGUUUCACUUCAUCCGGGAAUGCUAUGACAGGAAGCUGAUCGACGUCGAGUUUGUUGGCACUGAGCUGCAACUGGGUGACAUACUCACAAAAGCACUUGGGCGCACUCGGUUUCAAGAGCUCCGUGGUCAGAUUGGUAUGAAGAAACUAGGAUAGUCGCUCUAGGACUUAGGAGGAGAAUGUUUGAAUAAGUCCAUGAGGCAGUUAACUAUAGAAGGUAAAGGUGAUUAGCACCAUUCAUGGCAUGGCCCAGGGAGUUGGGAUGGCAACUACCGAUCACGAGCAUGCCUUGAUUAGCAGAAUAAUUUCCUACCAUGUAAUGCAGUCAGUUCUUUGUUUAAAUAGAGAUAGCAACCACAGAGAAUGUGUGGCCUUUGCAAUAGCAAUACACCAGUAUCCAUCUCGUGUGUGUGUGUGGGAAUUCCA
rnacentral:lncRNA from 1 species